rnacentral:tRNA from 1 species
GGGCCCGUGGUCUAGCCUGGACUAGGAUGCGAGGUUCGGGUCCUCGUGGUCGGGGGUUCAAAUCCCCCCGGGCCCA